rnacentral:rRNA from 1 species
UACGUAGGUGGCAAGCGUUGUCCGGAUUUAUUGGGCGUAAAGAGCGUGUAGGCGGCCAGACAAGUCUGCUGUGAAAACUCGAGGCUCAACCUCGAGCUGUCGGUGGAAACUGUCUGGCUAGAGUCCGGAAGAGGAGAGUGGAAUUCUCGGUGUAGCAGUGAAAUGCGUAGAUAUCGAGAGGAACACCAGUGGCGAAGGCGAGUCCCUGGACACUUCCUGACACUGAGGCACGAAAGCUAGGGGAGCAAACAGG